CGCCAGCAGAACUUUGAAAACAAGCCUGGAACUUUUUCACGUUUUCCUCUUUAAAAUUAUUUUUAAAAUAAUUUUUCUUGAUCUGCGUCUGGAGGCGAGUUGCUGUUGUCCGGCAGGAGGAGGAGGAGGCGCGGCGGCGGGCUCCGCAGCGGAACUUUAGACCCAGGGCUCAGCAGUGCUUGUCCAUGGAGUUUGGGUUGCUGCUGGAGAGCAGAGAGCGUCUGGUCUCCCUGCUGCUGGAAUGGGAGUCGGUCCAGCAGGGAGACCCGGACCAGCUGUUGCCUGUCCUCACCAGGACAUGUGAGUUGAUGGAAGUGAUGGUCAGACAGUAUCAGGAAGGCAACCCUGACCUGUUCAAUGAGCCUCAACCAGGUGAGCACAGCCUCAUCUUCACAUCUGUUCUCAGAUUUUAUUCCCAUUUUUUCUGACUCUGGAUCUUUCUCCGAAACGAGCGAGUCCGACCUGUGAG
rnacentral:lncRNA from 1 species